GUCUUUAGCAGUGGGAGGAAACCGGAGGACCCAGAGAAAACCCACAAGGCGACCCUACUCCUUGUCACGUACAACCGGGGAAUCGAAACCCCGCCAGUUGACUCAAUGACAGACCGUAUGAAACAGCGCGCGCGUGCUAACCAUUCGGCCAUCCAACCCCGCCUCAGUUGAUUGGAAUCUAUAAACAUUGAUAACUUAUUU